CCUACGGGUGGCAGCAGUGAGGAAUAUUGGUCAAUGGGCGGGAGCCUGAACCAGCCAAGUCGCGUGAGGGAAGACGGUCCUAUGGAUUGUAAACCUCUUUAGGCGGGGAGCAAUGCCGGGCACGUGUGCCCGGAGGGAGAGUACCCGCAGAAUAAGCAUCGGCUAACUCCGUGACAGCAGCCGCGGUAAUACGGAGGAUGCGAGCGUUAUGCGGAUUUAUUGGGUUUAAAGGGUGCGUAGGCGGAUUUUUAAGUGAGCGGUAAAAGGUCCGGGCGCAACGCGGGCCGGCCGUUGAAACUGGGGAUCUUGAGUGGGCGAGAAGUAUGCGGAAUGCGUGGUGUAGCGGUGAAAUGCAUAGAUAUCACGCAGAACUCCGAUUGCGAAGGCAGCAUACCGGCGCCCGACUGACGCUGAGGCACGAAAGCGUGGGGAUCGAACAGGAUUAGAUACCCUUGUAGUC
rnacentral:rRNA from 1 species